GGCGGUGUGGCCAAGUGGUAAGGCAGAGGAUUGCAAAUUCUUGAUCCCCAGUUCGAAUCUGGGCACCGCCU
rnacentral:tRNA from 1 species